GUUUAGGACUAGAAACUUGGCACUGGAUUCCAAAGAACAACAUGGGAUUUUUCUUUCUCUUCCCUCUCUCGCUUAUAAAUGAGGGCACAGCUGGGUUCUGUGAUAAAAUGCCCAACUCCACCUGCUCUAGAUGUUGCAAAGGAUAAGUUGAUCACCCUCCCUGAGAGUUUGGGAUUCUAUGAGGACUCCUGUCUAGAGUGCAGCGCCACUGCGAGGGUGGUCCUUUAUUGUCAGAAACCUCAUUCCCAGAAGGAGACAUGCAGUGGAAACUGAGCGUCCUCUGCCCUGCGGUGCCCAGCUCCAUUCAAGGCAAGCUUGGUCCCUCUGGCUUUCACGGGGAUGUGAACACCUUGCCAGGCUCCUCUCUGCUCCUUCCUCACUCCUUGGCACUGGCCUUGGCAUCCUCUAGCUGAGCCCAGGUCCUGUCCCUGAAGAGCUGCCGCCCCAGCCCCACUGCCAGCACAACCCCUCCCACCCCACCUGUCCCAGGGCCACCUGUGCUCACUUCGGCUCUAUCUCUGCUUGGGGGCCACUCUAACACUGGUUCUCUUUUCACCUUAAAAAGAGUUGCUGGAACCAAACCCCAGUGACUUGUCAGCAUUCACGCCACUCCUUCCAAACCCUCCAGAAAGCACACCUGUGGAUGAGAGGCGCAAUUAACGUUAUCAGUCGUGAAGGAUCAGAAGGAAAACCCAGUGGCCGUUGGGAAUUGUGAGUGCCAUAACCACUUCAAGCAUUUGGGGUUUUGUUUUAUUUUCUCUGGCCUGGAGGGGUGUGGAGAGGGGCCAUAUAUAAGACAAAGCCAGUUUUCUCUUUUUGAGACAGAGUCUCCUUCCGUCACCCAAGCUGGAGCGCAGUGACGCAAUCUCAGCUCACUGCAACCUCUGCCUCCUGGGUUCAAGCAAUUCUCAUGCCUCAGCCUCCCGAGUGGCUGGGACUACAGGUACACCCCAUAAUGCCCGGCUAAUUUUUUGUAUUUUUAGUAGAGAUGGUGUUUCGCCAUGUUGGGCAGACUAGACUCGAACUCCUGACCUCAAGUGAUCUACCCACCUUGGCUUCCCAAAGUGCUGGAAUUCCAGGUGUGAGCCACUGUACCCAGCCCACUUCAAAUUUACCACUCCAGACCUUUGUUCUAGAUGGGGAGAACUGGACCCUAUGGGAAAUCAUACGGAUCUGAAAUUCACCCCGGAAACUGACCUGGGGUGAGGACAACAGGUGGAAUGAAACCCCAAGCAGACCCUAUAGAGGCAAGGAAGGAGAUUGAGACCCUUCUGCAGAAAGCUGUUAUGAGCCUAGAAUUUUAACUUAUGCUAUUGACACCAUGCCAAGCACCCAAGGAAAAGGAAAGAGAAGAACCUACACCGCCUCCUCCUUGCUAGUGAGUGAGGUAAAAUGAUCUGGGGAGGAAAAAAAACAAAAAAAAUGAGGUGAGAAACACCAGAUGGAGCAGAGAGACUGCCCAGAAAUUGCUGCUUUUGUCAACCUAGAUUUGUUUGCAGGUGAGUGCAGUGUUGAUAGAAAGCAAGUCUAUUUCCAGAGGGGAUCCCCAGGAUCUCCUAUCAAAGAGCAAGCUCUGGAGCUAGUCCCCAGAUGCAGACAGAUCUACUGACCGAACCACGAUCACUCCAACCCCAAUCUCCCAAGAGGUUCUGAGGAUACAAUAGUUCUCAAUCCUUAGGUACACACAUUGUUCACAGGGAGUGACUCGGUGGUUAUUAAUGGCUUAUUAGGCUGUUCUUGGAGGUAAUUUACAUCUCGUUUGAGCCUCUGCUUUUCAGGCAUUUUUCUGCAAAUGGCUGUAGGCUUUUUUCUAAAAAAAAAAAAAGAAACUAAAUCCAUUGAAUACUCAUGCAUAUUCUCCAAAAUGCCUUAAAUCAGUACCUAAAACUUGAAACUAGUUUUUCCCCCAUUGAAGAAAUUAUCUGGCCCUGAUCUCUCUUACUUGCUGUCCUGUGAUUGAAAAGAACUUUUGUGGGGGAAUUUUUAAAAUAAUUGCCACCAAAUACUUCAAAUGGAAUUCAGAUAGCAGUCUAUUUCACGUUUCAUGCUUUUGUGACAUUCUUGCUCAGGAAUGAAUCUUUUAUGAAAGGUCUAUUUUAAGUUGCACCUUCCAGAACUUUAUUUUUGUCUCUGAAAGAAAGAGGCAGAGCAGAACCUGGAUUCUUCCAAUUCACCGAUUUACUGUGAGCUUAGGAUUGGCUCUCCUGGGGGUCGGCGGGGUGGGGGGUGAUGGGCUUCCAGC
rnacentral:lncRNA from 10 species